CAGAACUAUUACUAGGCAAUUCUGUAAUGGGAGAACCGUCCUCAUGAAGGAGUUAGUGCCAUGAUCAUGGUGUGGGCUGGUUCUCUUGGGAGUUCCUGAUAAAGGAGUGGGCGAGGCACCUUCCCCUCUCUAUGCUGCACAUGAAAUCUUCUGCCUUUCCACCUUCCACCAUGAAAUGAUGCAGCAAGUUGGCCCUCACAGGAUGCUGGUGCCAUGACCUUGGGCCAUUGUAAGAAGUAAAUCUGUGCUUUAAAUAAAUCAAGGUACAUAUGAAAUACCAGUCUCUGGUAUUCUAUUAUAGGAGCAUAAAAUAGAUUAAUACAAUAUGACCAAUUUAAGUAACAUAAACUAUAGUUAUGAGCUUUUCUUCUUCCAUGCAUGAUGCUUUUCUUUUCCUUAUACAAGGGCAGUUUGUUUGCAUUCUUUUAAAAAUGCAUUUGAGCCUGGCACAGUGGUGCACACCUGUUAUCCCAGUGGUUUUGGAGGGAGAGGCAAGAGGAUAGCAAGUUCAAAGCCAGGCUCAGAAACUUAGGGAGGCCCCAAGAAACUUGGUGAGAGCCUGUCUUAAAAUAAACCAUAAAGAAAAGACUGGGGAUGUGGCUCAGUGGUUAGGCAUCCCUGGGUUCAGUCCUUGGUACCCAAACCAAAAAAUGCAAUUGAUUUUAUUUUAAAUUAAAACCAAGUUUGAUUUACCCUGUAUGAAUGAGUUGGUCACAAUUAUUGGAAACAUAAACAAACAAAUAAAUAAAGGCUUAAAGAACAGGAUGUGUCUGAAGUCAUCCUAAAUCCAAUGAGGGGUUUCUUUGCACAGGCUCAUUUGAAGCACUGCUGUACUUAGUAGCUUACCUUAUGGAAGAAGAUUUUGCUAGGCAGAGAAUCUGCCUCUGAGUUCCCUCCAAAGUCAGAUGAAGCAGGGACAACUUUGCAAAUACCAUUGUGAACAACACCUCCUGGCAAACCUGGUGGCAUUUCGUCUGGUGCCUAAG
rnacentral:lncRNA from 1 species